rnacentral:sRNA from 1 species
GCUGGGUGCAGUGGUGUACACCUGUAAUCCCAACAGCUCAGGAGGCUGAGGCAGGAGGAUCCUGAUUUUAAAGUCAGCCUCAGCAAUUUAGCAAGGCCCCAAGCAACUCAGCAAGACCCUGUCUCUA